AUGUCAUAGGUAGCAGAACGUUCUGGAAAUAUAACGCUGAAAACAGUACCAGAAUUGAUGCUGCUAACAUAAGUAACACUAAAUGGAUAACAUGGCCGUAAGCCCAAGGUUUUGCACAACAAACAGUGAAUACGGUUUUUACAAUAAUUUAUAUACAUAC
rnacentral:rRNA from 1 species